GCACGGCGUGCAAUAGUUUCAAUCCCAACCGUUUAUUUAAUCCAACGCAUAAAAAAUUGACAGCUAAUAAGGACAGCUCAUCAAUCCGCGUGACACCCACCUUCUGCCGUUUCCUUGCUCUUUUCUCUUUGCCUUUCAGCUACCAAAAAAAAAAACAAAAAACUCUCUCCUUCUUCAAAUCUUUCUCUACCCAAAAUUCAAAAACUCUCUAACGCUUGCUGAAUCUGCAUGGCCACAGCUAGCAGCCACCGCGUCCCACACCUCCACCACCGGCGGUAGUUCCGGUACGUUCUUGUCUCUCUCUUUCGGCCGCUAAAGGUGCUAUCGCCGGUGCCACCACCACUGGUGGUCGCCGGGUCCUCCUCCCUUUCUCCUUAUUGUCUUUUCUCUUUUAUUUUUCUUUUUGUUUCUCUUUUUAUUUGCCUUUUAGAAGUGACUGAAUAGUUUUGUUUAGUGACUGGGUCUCCUUUUUGAGUAUAAAGCUUGAUGAUCUGUUUAAGUUUGAAAAAUUGGGGCUUUUAGGUGUAGCCGAUGUAUUUUGAUUAAGUGCCUGCGUGUAGUUGUUGUCUGGUGUUGCCUUUGACAUUAGUCCAGAAAUUGUGUUGCUUGGUCAUGAACUCAUGAUGUAUGCUAAAAAUCAUUAUGAAAUUUCUCCUUUUUUUUUCCUUAUUUUUUUUAGGUAUCUGUUCCUUUUCUAAAUUUGGAUUGACUAUGCAGAUGGGUAUUUUGCUGGUGGAUGAUAUAUUUUGUUUCUUGUAGUUCAUUUUAAAGAUAUAAACUAUGGCUCUUGAUAGGUAAUGAGGUACAAUGUUUGUGAGCUUAGAAUAAUGAUUCUUGAUUUGUUAUGCACAACACAAUUGGUUUUGUAAGCUAUAUUGCUACUCACACUCUUAUUUUUGGGCGUGAGCUAAUUCUUGGUCAGAGUUUCUUUAACAGCUUAUGUGACAUGACUGUUGUUAUGGCUGGAUUGUUAUGCUCUUACCAUAGUGUUGUUGCAUUGAUCCUGAAAAGUAUAUUGACCUGCUAUUUAGAAACCAUUCAGGUUCAUAGCUUGGACAUUUGACAAAUUAUGCUUUAUUUAGAACCCUGCUCGGUCCAGUUACAUAUUAUCUCUGGUAUUAGGAAUCUACUUGAGGAUAUAUAUAUAUACACACACACACACACACAUUUUACCUCCUCUUUCUUUACUUACUACCUUGUGCCUUAAGACUCAAAACUAUAUUAUUGCUGGACAUUGGUUGUUAUUGCACCUGACAGCCAAAAUAAUAUUCCUUUCUUUUCUUCCCUUUUGCUAACAAAAGUUUUCUUAGAAACGUAUUAAUUAAUAUCUUCCAACAUGUAUAUUUUGUGUGGAAAAGUGUUCUGUCUCAAUUACAUUUCUCUUUUUGGGUACAUUUCACUAGAGCUGUUUGUAAUUUAUGAUUAUAGUUUAUAGGGCACUUACAUAUGUAAUAGUGUGGGUGAUUUAGUGCAAGGUUUGGUUUAUUAUUAUUAUUAUUAUUAUUAUUAUUAUUAUUAUUAUUAUUUAUUAUUUGUUUUUGGGUGGGGUAGGGGGUGUUGUUUGUGUGUUUGGUUAAAAAAUAAAAAUCUUUAUUGAUUUAUAAUUGAAGUACAUCAUUUGCCAAAAAGGCAGAAAAAACACAACGGCAGAUUUUCAAGCCAAACAACAUAUGAACACAUUCCAUUGCUAGAGGAAUGAUCAAGUGCAUAGACCCGCAAAAUCUGAAAUAAUUCUUGAUGAAAAUGUCCAUGUUGAUUAUGUAGCCUAAGUUCAAAGUGCUGAUGCUGGGACAGUCCAACAAAUAAUGAUAUUGUUGCUAGCCUGCCCGAGAGUAAGAGAAUGAACUAUUUUGUAGGUGAUAUGCUUGUGUCUAUCCCUUUUGUUGAUGCCAUUCUAAUUAAGGUGUGCAAUUUUGUUCCUUGCUUAUAAUCAGUCCUUUUAUUUUAGAUUGUUGUUUCUUUCUUUGCACUGCUUAUAGUGGCCAUUGGUGGAGUUGGGUUGUAAGUAGGGUUUCAUGGAGCUCUAUUGAUAAAUUGAAUCACACUGAUGAUUUAGAUACUGUUCAAUGGAUCACAUUCCAUGCUUGGGAGGGCAGUUGUUGUGAAUGCUAAUUCUGAUAUGAUUUGGAAGCAUGAAAGGCCAUUGGUUUAAAGCUACAUGUAUCUCUAUUGGAUCUAGUCGACUUUUGUUCUUUGCUUGGAGAGGUGUGCGUGCAAAAGAAGACUCAAAAAAAUUUUGGAAACCGACUAUGGCAUAUCAACUAUUGUUGAAAUGAAGAUACAAGUCCAAAGCACAAAACACAGAAGAAGACUGUGUGAGAUUGAAGAAGAAACGAGGUCAUUUUGUGUAAAUGAGGACCUGAUGACAUUUAGUGACACAAAAGCGUUUUGCAAUAUCUUUAGUAAUUGUUUUAGUGAAACACUUGGAUAGAUUAGUUCUAAUUUUUGUUAUGAAUUAACUCCACAUGUUAGCUUGUAAUUAAUGGUUAGAUUAAAACAGUUUUCCUGCUUAAUCAAGGAAGUAUGUUAGUUUUGCUUAUUUCUUUUCCAGAUUUUGUAUAUAAGGGAUUAGAUAUUUUCUAUCUAUUCUCAGUUGCUUGUAAUCACUUUUACUCAUCAAUGAGAAAACUAAGUUCUAUUUA